GACGAACGCUGGCGGCGUGCUUAACACAUGCAAGUCGAACGGAAAGGCCCUGCUUUUGUGGGGUGCUCGAGUGGCGAACGGGUGAGUAACACGUGAGUAACCUGCCCUUGACUUUGGGAUAACUUCAGGAAACUGGGGCUAAUACCGGAUAGGAGCUCCUGCUGCAUGGUGGGGGUUGGAAAGUUUCGGCGGUUGGGGAUGGACUCGCGGCUUAUCAGCUUGUUGGUGGGGUAGUGGCUUACCAAGGCUUUGACGGGUAGCCGGCCUGAGAGGGUGACCGGCCACAUUGGGACUGAGAUACGGCCCAGACUCAUACGGGAGGAAGCAGUGGGGAAUAUUGCACAAUGGGCGGAAGCCUGAUGCAGCAACGUCGCGUGGGGGAUGACGGCCUUCGGGUUGUAAACCGCUUUCGCCUGUGACGAAGCGUGAGUGACGGUAAUGGGUAAAGAAGCACCGGCUAACUACGU
rnacentral:rRNA from 1 species